GAUGAACGCUGGCGGCGUGCCUAAUACAUGCAAGUCGAGCGAACGGACGAGAAGCUUGCUUCUCUGAUGUUAGCGGCGGACGGGUGAGUAACACGUGGAUAACCUACCUAUAAGACUGGGAUAACUUCGGGAAACCGUAGCUAAUACCGGAUAAUAUUUUGAACCGCAUGGUUCAAAAGUGAAAGACGGUCUUGCUGCCACUUAUAGAUGGAUCCGCGCUGCAUUAGCUAGUUGGUAAGGUAACGGCUUACCAAGGCAACGAUGCAUAGCCGACCUGAGAGGGUGAUCGGCCACACUGGAACUGAGACACGGUCCAGACUCCUACGGGAGGCAGCAGUAGGGAAUCUUCCGCAAUGGGCGAAAGCCUGACGGAGCAACGCCGCGUGAGUGAUGAAGGUCCUCGGAUCGUAAAACUCUGUUAUUAGGGAAGAACAUAUGUGUAAGUAACUGUGCACAUCUUGACGGUACCUAAUCAGAAAGCCACGGCUAACUACGUG
rnacentral:rRNA from 1 species